rnacentral:lncRNA from 1 species
GGCUGAGUAAGUAGCACUAGUAGCGACUAGCUACUUACAAGUGUACUCGCUGACAACGGGGAAUACUGCAAAAGGUAUUCUGUCGUUUGUGACAUCGUUGACCAUUUGCGAAGAAGUACACGUAUCUCACAGUGGUUACGGUGUAGCGCGCGCGGUUUAACUGCGUGUCGGACGCUCUCGGCUUCGACGACUUACAGAGGGAGAGAGAGAGAAGAACACUUAGCCAAGACGAAACACGAACACGUAAAAGCAACACACAGGUAAAAGGUAAGCACGGCGUCGGAGCGGCGCAACUCGCUUGGAAGUCUGUCUUUCCAUUCGGCUGCCGCUGGUAGCGCUGCUGCUGGAUGCUGAGCGACCGGACCUCGCCGGCUCCCUUCCUUUUCUCGUGCCGCUCGGAAAUAUAGAGGGAGAGGGAGAGAGAGAGAAAAA